rnacentral:miRNA from 1 species
GUGCAGUCCUCCUUUGGCGUG